rnacentral:rRNA from 1 species
GACGAACGCUGGCGGCAUGCCUAAUACAUGCAAGUCGAGGGAACAGAUGAAGUGCUUGCACUUCUGACGUUAGCGGCGAACGGGUGAGUAACACGUAAGGAAUCUACCUAUAAGCGGGGGAUAACAUUCGGAAACGGGUGCUAAUACCGCAUAAUAUCUUCUUCCGCAUGGAAGAAGAUUGAAAGACGGCUCUGCUGUCACUUAUAGAUGACCUUGCGGUGCAUUAGUUAGUUGGUGGGGUAACGGCCUACCAAGACGAUGAUGCAUAGCCGACCUGAGAGGGUGAUCGGCCACAUUGGGACUGAGACACGGCCCAAACUCCUACGGGAGGCAGCAGUAGGGAAUCUUCCGCAAUGGGCGAAAGCCUGACGGAGCAAUGCCGCGUGAGUGAAGAAGGCCUUCGGGUCGUAAAACUCUGUUAUAAGAGAAGAACAAAUUGUAGAGUAACUGCUACAGUCUUGACGGUAUCUUAUCAGAAAGCCACGGCUAACUACGUGCCAGCCGCCGCCGUAA